rnacentral:rRNA from 1 species
UGGGGAAUUUUGGACAAUGGGCGAAAGCCUGAUCCAGCAAUGCCGCGUGUGUGAAGAAGGCCUUCGGGUUGUAAAGCACUUUUGUCCGGAAAGAAAUCCUUGGCUCUAAUACGGUCGGGGGAUGACGGUACCGGAAGAAUAAGCACCGGCUAACUACGUGCCAGCAGCCGCGGUAAUACGUAGGGUGCAAGCGUUAAUCGGAAUUACUGGGCGUAAAGCGUGCGCAGGCGGUUUGCUAAGACCGAUGUGAAAUCCCCGGGCUCAACCUGGGAACUGCAUUGGUGACUGGCAGGCUAGAGUAUGGCAGAGGGGGGUAGAAUUCCACGUGUAGCAGUGAAAUGCGUAGAGAUGUGGAGGAAUACCGAUGGCGAAGGCAGCCCCCUGGGCCAAUACUGACGCUCAUGCACGAAAGCGUGGGGAGCAAACAGGAUUAGAUACCCUGGUAGUCCACGCCCUAAACGAUGUCAACUAGUUGUUGGGGAUUCAUUUCCUUAGUAACGUAGCUAACGCGUGAAGUUGACCGCCUGGGGAGUACGGUCGCAAGAUUAAAACUCAAAUGAAUUGACGGGGUCAUAGCUGUUUCCU